rnacentral:rRNA from 1 species
ACGCUCGACACCUACGGGAGCAGCAGUGGGGAAUAUUGCACAAUGGGGGAAACCCUGAUGCAGCGACGCCGCGUGAAGGAAGAAGUAUCUCGGUAUGUAAACUUCUAUCAGCAGGGAAGAAAAUGACGGUACCUGACUAAGAAGCCCCGGCUAACUACGUGCCAGCAGCCCGGUAAUCUGAGCGGGCUGGCAAGGC